rnacentral:antisense_RNA from 1 species
GGCCACCCGGAGCCUCGUCACGAGUCUUACCCAGGGUUCGGAGCGGGCCUGCAAGAAGGGGCAGGCCAGGCUGGGGCUGCAAGGCAGGGUCUUCCCUUGGAGAAAGGACCUGACUCUAUUAUUAAGAGAACGAAAGAGGCACUUGCCCUACAGUGUUGUGUGCAUAGUGGAUGUGCAGCCAGCAUUGGCUCAUGUGUGAAGGAGCAUACACUCCUGGAAAGUCUGAGCAUGUCCAUACGCAUCAUCUCACUGGGCCCCUGCAGCUCACUGAAAGAAGAGGCAGACGCCUGCCCCAACUGCCCAGAGCCCUACUGGCUGAGCGGAUCCCUAAUGUCCUUAGUUAAGCUCUCACCCUGCAUGACUGUUUUCCUCAGAAGGCACUAGUGGGGACACCUUUUCCUGGGGUCUCUAUGCAGGGAAUGGGCUGGAUGUGUACAGACCUGGCCACCAUGCCUUUGGGGGCUGGUGUCACGGCCAGGCCAUGACUCUAAAGAAUGAGGGGGGCUGGGUGCGGUGGCUCAC